GUUCAAAUUAAUGUUGUAAUUAGACACUUUAUCAGGGCUUCAGAAAUGCCUAUCUACUAAAUUUUUAGUUCUUUUUCUGAGACCAACUAAUGCGAAAAGUAAAGAAAUAAAGAAUUUGAAAACGAGAAGCAUUUUUUUAUGAAACUAGAUGGAACAAAAAACAACAAAGCUAGCAGUUAUUAUCUAUACUUCUACCAGGUCUGAGUCUCACCUGUUUAGACUGUAGGCGUUGUUGUUGCCCCCGCCGCCGCUCGACUUGCCGCCCUUGCCAGGACACAGGUGGAAGGCGCCGUAGAUGAGCGGGUUGACCAGGCUGUUGGACAUCCCGAAGAAGAAUAUGGCGUCCUGCAGAUCGUCGCCCAGCUGCAAGUAAUGCGGAAAAUUCAAAUUAAUUUUCUUCCCAUUCAGCCGACCCUUUUGUGGGAUUUGUUUGUGUUCAAGUGGGCCCAUUGUGGGCGUUUUGCGGCUGGACUCCACAUCCUGGUUACUCAGAAUACCCUCGAUACCCACAGGUCCUUGCUGGGUGGACGCAGCUUAAGAAAAUCCCGAAGCAAUCACUCGUCCUAAUGUUUAAGUCAUGCUUAAAACACUGGAGGUGCAAAGAUGUAUUAUUAACGAAAGGAUUAAAGGAGCCAUGCUCUUAUUUGAAUUUAAACUA